GAUGAACGCUGGCGGCGUGCCUAAUACAUGCAAGUCGAGCGAACGGACGAGAAGCUUGCUUCUCUAAUGUUAGCGGCGGACGGGUGAGUAACACGUGGAUAACCUACCUAUAAGACUGGGAUAACUUCGAGAAACCGUAGCUAAUACCGGAUAAUAUUUUGAACCGCAUGGUUCAAAAGUGAAAGACGGUCUUGCUGUCACUUAUAGAUGGAUCCGCGCUGCAUUAGCUAGUUGGUAAGGUAACGGCUUACCAAGGCAACGAUGCAUAGCCGACCUGAGAGGGUGAUCGGCCACACUGGAACUGAGACACGGUCCAGACUCCUACGGGAGGCAGCAGUAGGGAAUCUUCCGCAAAGGGCGAAAGCCUGACGGAGCAACGCCGCGUGAGUGAUGAAGGUCUUCGGAUCGUAAAACUCUGUUAUUAGGGAAGAACAUAUGUGUAAGUAACUGUGCACAUCUUGACGGUACCUAAUCAGAAAGCCACGGCUAACUACGUG
rnacentral:rRNA from 1 species